rnacentral:lncRNA from 1 species
CAGCCAACAUGUGUGUGUUUGUUGGAUUGCAUUCUCAUCCUAGUAGCAGUUCAAUCUAUUGUGUCGAUGCACAUGCAGGUGAGGCUGCAACAUGGUUGUGAGUUACCAAAAAGUUGUCUCCCUUAAUUAACUAAUAGCUGACUCAUUUCAAUGGUUGAUCCACCUACUGAGUUGAGCAUGAAGUUUUGGAUUGACCUUUUCAUUGCGGUGCUUGCAGAAUGGUGUCGUGGCAGCACUGCACAAUUAAUUAACUAUGCUGAGAAACAUCGUAGCUCUUCUUUUCGUGCCCACACGAUGUGGAGCCACCAGCCUGCUCGAGCUGCCCUCACACAGUGCCAACCCUGUGAGAGAAAACUAUGGUAUUGAUUUCUUAGGUUAUAAAGUUAUGUGUUCCCCUAGGAUUUAAGAUGGUGAAGUUACUUGAUGUAGGAACUAGGGUAUACUAUGACUGUAUCACCUUUUGCUGUGUAUUGACUUGCUUCAAUAAGAACUUCAGUGCUUGAGUCCAACCCUGUAAGGUUUCACUUUACUCCAAUUACUCAAUCAGAACUCAUGGUUCUAUAUGUUGUAGGCUCUGAACUUCCUUCAAUCAUAAUCUGAUUUUUCACAAGAUCAUGAAAUAUUUAUGUCCCCCAGGUUCUUAUUGGCCAAUUUCUCAGAUUAGGAGUUGAUAUAAACAUCAAUAUGCUCAAGGUAAUACACCCUACUUUGCAUAGUAAACCAUAUUGAGCUAUUGUGAAUGCAAAACAUCUUUAAUAACUGAAGAUGAUGUCACAACCCUACUCUGGUUUAUAGAUUACAAAGAGAUUGCCCAAUCUAGAAAAGAAAAGGUGGAUGCCAAACUGAAGAGUCGUGUGAUGUAAGCAGUUGGGAUGCUAAGAAGUUUGUGUAAGUUCUACUGGCUUGCUCCUAAAUAUUACCUUGCUCGAAUAGAAAAUGUCUCAGAAUCUUCUGAAAGAUCAUUUGUUGAUGUUAUUUGAGCAAAGAAGUGUGUAAUUUCCCAAUGUACAUUACUACUAAUGCUAUUUUGAUGUAAUGCUACAUUUGAUAUCUUCUAGCAUUCCUUUUAGAUUUUAUGCUACGUUUGAAUAGAGGGUUGCUAAGGGUGCUGUAGCUUAUAGUCGCUAAUAUCUCAUUUUGUCAAGACAGUUAAGACUUCUUCUACUAAAGUUUACUAUAUCAAUUUUGUACUAAAAAUUUACCCUGUUUUACUAAAUUAUCUUGCUACUAAUUUUGCAUUGUUGUACUAAAAUUUUCCUUUCUACUGUUGUACUAAAAUUUAACCAUUGAGUAGGUAGGAAGAAUUCAACUGACCAAUAAUAAUGAUUAAGGAGCACCCAGGAGAAAUCAAAUUACAAUCCACUCCCAGAACAUAACCAGUACAUGAUUCAUGAUAGAAUUGCACUAGACACAUGACAAUUGUAUAACUGCAUGUAGUAGAGUGUACCUGAUGCCUAUAUUGUUCCUUUUUAACUUGUUCGCAGAAACCAGUAUAUAAAUAUAUGUCUUGGUAAAUCACAUUGUGAGCAUGUAUCUCGGUACGUAAUUCAGGCACAUUCAAAUUUGGCCUUGUGUGAAUCAUUUUCUUUGAACAUAAAGUAUUUUUGAGUUGUUGAAACCUUGCAUCUAUUUGUAUUUUCUAGAGAACUGUAGAUCUUUCUUUGAAACCAAACAAUGUGUUGUCUGUUAGCACAUGUUUAUUUAAGGGAAAUACCUCAUUUCUUACAGAGUAUGUUUGCCUUAAGGUCUAUGUUGACUCAAUUGAUGACAUAUAGUAGAUUUUUUCAUAAGAAAACAAGGAUCAAAAGUGUUUGUCACAUGUAGGCUAUUACUCCCCUUUUCUGCAUACAAAGCUACUAAUGUCAUGACCUUCAACCUCUUUAUGUUGCUCGUCCUUUACAUUUUGCUGAUCUAUUAAUUUGAUUUUAUAUAUACAGUAAGUUACUCAUCUCGUUUCUUUGGUUUUGUAGAUUGUCAUGAUAAAAUGGAUAAUGCAUGGCGCUUGGAUGCUGAUUGCAAGGAUGAGAAUGGUGCUACAAUAGGAUAAUUAGAAUGUCAUUUUCAGGAUGAUGUUUGAAACAUUAUAGUUGAUUGCAAGGUCUAGAAUUUGGCUACUACUUGAUAGUUUCACAUCUUGUAAUCUCUGGAUCCUGUUCUUUAUAAUGCAACAUAGUUGAUUGAAUAUAUGAGACCUUCCAGUUUAUUAUAUUGUGUCUCCUAUACACUAGAUGUAUUGACCUUGUAAUUCUGGAUGCCAAUAUAUAAAAUAUCAUCAAUUGUUCAUGCCAUGUAG